ACGUCAUCCAGAGCAUCUACAGAGCGGGCCCGAGGCCGCCCGGAUCCCCAACCACCCCUUGGCUGUUCUUGAAGGGGUUCCUGCUCCCACAUCCUAGGACUUCGAGGCGAGUGGUGACUCCACUCCUCAUCCCGGAUUGGGGCGCACACCCUCCCCUGGGAGCACAGCAGGCAAGGAGUGCAGUGCUGGGACUGCCCAGGAAAACUGUCAAACCCAUCUGGAUUUUGUUUUAAAGGGGUCUUUACUUUCCUGUGAAUAAUAUCUCGUAAUGUUGGACAUUAUUACUUUUGGUGAUCUUGUUUUUGAGCCACAGCCAUAAAUU